rnacentral:rRNA from 1 species
UACGAAGGGUGCAACGUUGCUCGGAAUCAUUGGGCGUAAAGCGCACGUAGGCGGCGCAGUAAGUCGGACGUGAAAUCCCUCGGCUCAACCGAGGACGUGCAUCCGAAACUACUGUGCUCGAGUAUGGAAGAGGGUCGCGGAAUUCUCGGUGUAGAGGUGAAAUUCGUAGAUAUCGGGAGGAACACCAGUGGCGAAGGCGGCGACCCGGGCCAAUACUGACGCUGAGGUGGCGAAAGCGUGGGGAGCGAACAGG